rnacentral:rRNA from 1 species
UACGUAGGUGACCAGCGUUGUCCGGAUUUACUGGGCGUAAAGAGCGCGCAGGCGGUCGUUCAAGUCGAGUGUGAAAGCCCCCGGCUCAACUGGGGAGGGUCACUUGAUACUGAUCGACUCGAAGGCAGGAGAGGGAAGCGGAAUUCCCGGUGUAGUGGUGAAAUGCGUAGAUAUCGGGAGGAACACCGAUGGCGAAGGCAGCUCGCUGGGAUAACACUGACGCUCAUGCACGAAAGCGUGGGGAGCAAACAGG